rnacentral:tRNA from 1 species
AACAAAAUGGCUGAAAUAGUGGAAAAUUGUAAAUUUUUAUAUAGAUAAUUCUUUUUGUUA